rnacentral:rRNA from 1 species
AUUGAACUCUGGCGGCAGGCCUAACACAUGCAAGUCGAACGAGUGGCGGACGGGUGAGUAAUGUCUGGGAAACUGCCUGUUGGAGGGGGUUAACUACUGGAAAGGGUAGCUAACCCCGCAUACCAUCGGAUGUGCCCAGAUGGGAUUGGCUAGUAGGUGGGGUAAAGGUUCACCUAGGCGACGAUCCCUAGCUGGUAUGAGAGGAUGACCAGCCACACUGGAACUUGAGAACGGUCCAGACUCCUACGGGAGGCAGCAGUGGGGAAUAUUUCACAGUGGGCGCAAGCCGGAUGCAGCCAUGCCGCGUGUAUGAAGAAGGCCUUCGGGUUGUAAAGUACUUUCAGCGGGGAGGCGUUACCCGCUGAAGAAGCACCGGCUAACUCCGUGCCAGCAGCCGCGGUAAUUC